rnacentral:rRNA from 1 species
UGCUACUUUUGCCGGCGAGCGGCGGACGGGUGAGUAAUGCCUGGGAAAUUGCCCAGUCGAGGGGGAUAACAGUUGGAAACGACUGCUAAUACCGCAUACGCCCUACGGGGGAAAGCAGGGGACCUUCGGGCCUUGCGCGAUUGGAUAUGCCCAGGUGGGAUUAGCUAGUUGGUGAGGUAAUGGCUCACCAAGGCGACGAUCCCUAGCUGGUCUGAGAGGAUGAUCAGCCACACUGGAACUGAGACACGGUCCAGACUCCUACGGGAGGCAGCAGUGGGGAAUAUUGCACAAUGGGGGAAACCCUGAUGCAGCCAUGCCGCGUGUGUGAAGAAGGCCUUCGGGUUGUAAAGCACUUUCAGCGAGGAGGAAAGGUCAGUAGCUAAUACCUGCUGACUGUGACGUUACUCGCAGAAGAAGCACCGGCUAACUCCGUGCCAGCAG